rnacentral:rRNA from 1 species
GACAGAGGCCACGAACGUUGUUCGGAAUCACUGGGCAUAAAGCGCACGUAGGCGGCUAGGUCCGUCCGAUGUGAAAGCCCCCGGCUCAACCGGGGAAUUGCAUCGGAUACAGCCUGGCCUGAGGACGGUUGGGGUGAGUGGAACUCCUGGUGGAGCGGUGAAAUGCGUAGAUAUCAGGAGGAACACCGGUGGCGAAAGCGGCUCACUGGACCGUUGCUGACGCUGAGGUGCGAAAGCUAGGGGAGCAAACGGG